UGAAAUUGAAAUGUUUGAAAGCAUGAAACAGUUUAAAAACUUUUUUUUUUUAAAUUUGUAUAUUCUCACUAUUCAGUAAAACUGACCAGAAUCUCUUAAUCAACAUCCCUGUUGUCUACUCUCUCUCUCUUUCUCUCUCCAUAUAUGUAUGUAUACACACACACACCAACAUCUACAUUCAAAAAAGCCUUAGCAUCGUACUAUUGUCACUGAAGCUGACCCUAUUACGAUAACCAUCUGUGCUAUUUUACUGUUAAGAAUUUAGUUGUUUGUGUGUGUGUGUACGAU